rnacentral:rRNA from 1 species
GACGAACGCUGGCGGCGUGCUUAACACAUGCAAGUCGAACGGAAAGGCCCGGCGUUUGUGGGGUGCUCGAUUGGCGAACGGGUGAGUAACACGUGAGUAACCUGCCCUUGUCUUUGUGAUAACUUCAGGAAACUGGGGCGAAUACCGGAUAGGAUCUACUGCUGCAUGGUGGGGGUUGGAAAGUUUCGGCGUUUGUGGAUGGACUCGCGGCUUAUCAGCUUGUUUGUGGGGUAGUGGCUUACCAAGGCUUUGACGGGUAGCCGGCCUGAGAGGGUGACCGGCCACAUUGGGACUGAGAUACGGACCAGACUCCUACGUGAGGCAGCAGUGGGGAACAUUGCACAAUGGGCGGACGCCUGAUGCAGAAACGCCGCGUGCGGGAUGACGGCCUUCGGGUUGUAAACCGCUUUCGCCUGUGACGAAGCGUGAGUGACGGUAAUGGGUAAAGAAGCAACGGCUAACUACGUG